UCACCGGGUGGAAACUAGCAGU
rnacentral:miRNA from 1 species